rnacentral:lncRNA from 1 species
AUUGAGCAGCUGCUUAAGAGGCCUGGAGUGCCAAGUGCUUUGGGUCUCUACUUGACCCCAGCUUUCAGCCUUGUGCAUUUCCCUCCACCUAGCCUUACACCCCCACAACCACUUGCAUUAGAAGUCCAGUAUAGGCAGAGUACUUUAUGGCCAGGAUGGCGGAAACUUUUGCAAACGUUUGGGAAUUUGCGUUUUUAUUGAAAUGUCUCCUUGCGCUCCGAGCUGCUCUACAAAGUUCCCUAGGAGCAUCGGACUUUCUGGAAGGAAGUAUUGGGUGCUCCCCAUGAGCCCACACCCGCAGGAUUUCUUUGCCCUAGUAUUUUGGGCAGGAAUGGUCUAAGGGCUUUGUGCCUGGAGAUUAGCAGGAACUGGUAGGAUGGAUCCUAAAGGCCACCACGGACUGCACCCAUUGACCGGAGGACAUCUGGCACACCGCAAUUCUGUGAGGUCCAUAGGUGACCCAAGGAAUUUCUCGGCUUGGGUUGGGGCCAUUCGAAGUGAAUCGGAAAAAAAAAAAGGACUUGCUGCCUAUAUCCAAGGCCAGUGGACCAACAGACCUUCGCUCUGGACAAACCUUGUGACUCAAUAAAGAAAAAAGGGGAGUGGGUUCUACGUGCGAAACCAGAGAAGCAGAGCCUGUGCCCUGUGCUUAACCAGUCUUUGCCCAACCUAUAAAGACUACAGAAAUCUCCCGCACUGACUCCGGCUCUGCCGCUCGCUGCUUGAUCUAUGAUGCUCUGCACCCGACGCUUAGAGAUGGGACGUCCGGGCUUCUGCAGGUCAGAGUGCUGCGUUGGACAUUGACUUUUGUUCUUUCUCCGCCACCAACUCUUCCCAGUCUUCUUGGGCCUGAGCAGUGCGUUUCGUUGAAUGCGGGCCAGCCGUAGAAACUGGCUUGCUCUGCGUCCCUCUGCGCCUCACCACCUGCCUACCUAAGGCAGCCGCCAGGUCUGCGGUGUUGCUGCAAGUGCUCCGAGCAUUUGCAAAAUCUGACACCCCGCGUUUUUCUGUGUUGCUCAACGUGCGAGACCGCAUCAUGCGCUGGUUUACAGCUUGUUCCAGUUCUCAGAGCGGUUCCCAGAACACCCCGAGCCCGGGCAAGUUUGCAGGGCCCUGGACUCCGUGAAAAGUCACUCUGGAAAGGGCUUAAAUCGUGUUGUCGCCUGUGACGCACGUGGCUGUGACUGUAACAGGCUCUAUGGAUCAGAGCAGCAGGGAUCCCAGGGCGUCCUCUCUGAUCUGCGAGCCUUUAGCCUGUGGCCCACGAGGCAGUCUGGAGGACUGACUUUAGAAAACGGUUUGGGGGAAGCGGCCACACCCGGGAUCUUGUGCAAACGAAAAGAGAGAGCUCCAGGCUCGAAGAGCGUUUGGAGGCACUCAAAGCAGCUGAUCCGCCUGGGAGGUGCCAGCAGUAGGCGACGUUUCAGGUGACUACCAAGGCCUGGCUACCUUCCUGCGACGACGGGCCCGGUGACCUCCUGCGGUCGCCGCUCAGGCCUGGUGAGCGUUCGGAGGUAUCUGCAACCUGUGAGGGGCCUCUUUGGAUGGAGGUGGGGGACGAGGGUGCAGGGGCCCGGCAUCCGGCGAGAGGCUGGUUCAUGGAAUUUGCAGGAAACUGCUGAAAUCGAACCCCCGGGUGGUUUUUCCGCGGGACAGUAGAGUGACUGUGCGUUCCUGGGUAGUCUGUUGUGGACACUUUAGGCGUGUCAAGUCCCCAAGUUCAGGUCUAAGGGUGGAUCUACUCAGUUUCCCCUACGCUUCUAGAGGAGGAAGAAGUGCCUUGUGCCCUGACGGAUCUCAAGCUCCUCUCACGCUGACCUCAUAAUAUUGCCCCGUCUAACUGCUGGCAGAGAAACAAUACAUGGUAUGUGUCAGUGAGGAGCGCGCGCGCGCGCGCGCGCACACACACACACACACACACACACACACACACACACACACCACGUUACUGGGUACGUGUGGUCACAAGAUCACACGAGUUUGUUUGUUUGUUUGUUUGUUUCGUUUCCCCCUUCUCUGUUUCCCCGUGAAGGGUCUGGGCUCCCAGGACUUGCUUAAAUGGAUGCCUGAAUGACCCCAGGGAUUUGACUGACAGAGACAACUGGAAAGCCAUUAGGCCAGUCGAUGGCUUCCUCCUCCUACCUUCUGCUCUACAAUCCUAGCAUAUUCUUUAAAACUCCCAUUUUGUUUGUAGGGAAAAGUUCCAAUGAGCUGGGUGUUCUCCUCCAACGUGCAGAGCUGGAGUGUCAUGGCCUAGGAAGCCACAGACUGAAAAUACAGGGCUCAUUGCCUACAACAUCAGGACAUUCUCUCCAGUCACAGGAAAGUUUUCUGAGUGACUUUAAUAGGUGUGUGUGUGUGUGUGUGUGUGUGUGUGUGUGUGUGUGUGUGUGAGCGCGUGCUCAGUCUUUAGUUGUACUUUCUCAAUUUUCAAAAAUUCUCUAUAGACAGAAGGUAGAUUAAAUUUCCUGGAAGAAGCGAGCCCUCCUCCUCCUUCUCCUGUUCUUCUUUCCAUUGCCUGUGAGAAACUCUAUGGGGCUAGGGAUUCCUUGCUUGACAUUCCUUUCUUACAUGGUAUCUAUUUUUUUAUUACCUGCAAUCAUAAUGCCUUGGCCCCACUCAUCAGUGACAACCCCUCCCCCAAGGUAGUGACCUACGCUGUUGGCAAUCUCACUUGGGUAGCACCUGGAUGAGCGUCUACUCCCAGAUGGUUUCCCUAGGCAGCCAGCAACACAGGGCUUCCACCAAGCUCUGUACUUUGAAGGGGACCUGGAAAAAGCCAACAUUGUUCUUACCUUGGAAAUCCAAUACCUUGUUGUCAUUUUGAAUUAAGACUAAAAUCCCCAGGCCAAUUCUUAUGGGAUGAUGUGCACUAAUUGAUUUAUGCAGACUGCUGUAAGAACACUUUAAUGAAGUAGGUAGAAACAAGAUAUGGGAGAGUAGAUAGCACAGGGACACCCAGUGCACGAGGCUGCUGCAGAGGGAACUGGUCAAAACCAGCCUUAAAUAAAUGUCUUCUUUUAGCAUGGUGACACUCUGGCUUGUAGUGACAGGCAUGGCUGGUUCUUUUGUAGUAUCUGUCUCCAUUCCAACCCUUCUAACAGCCUUGUCCCGUCAGCAUGGGCUCGCACACAGAGAAUGCACGGGGCGUGGAGCACGGGUUGUGGGCUUUGGCACCAGGCAGCUAUAGGCCCUUGACUCACAGGCACCACUUCAGUGAGCUAUUGAAGCCUGGAGCUUUAUUUUGUUCAAUUGUUAAGAUGGGGUUAGGAGCCCAGCAACAAGCAUUCAACAGUUGUUUGCUAAAUUGAAUGCACUUACUAACCUCAAUAAGAACCUGGUUCUUAGUAGGUGCUUUAAUCAUUGAGGCUAUCAUCCUGAGGCUGUCAAAUGUGCUCAUAACUGUAUACAGUUAGUGGAACUCGGUCUUUGAAUAUCCGUAGUUUUCAAUGACCGAUGAAACUUUGAAAAUAUUACGGAGUGCAUGCAGUGCCCCCCGGUGGCCAGAAGAGGGAGUCAGGUCUUCUGGAACUGGAUGUUUGUGAGCCACCUUGUGGGUGCUGGGAACAGGACCCCAUCCUCAGCAAGAGCAGGGGUGCCCUUAAACACUAAGCCAUCUUUUUAGUCUCCCAUAGAUAUUUUUAGAAAUAAAAAACUCACCUGCUUCAUGGUGCAUACUCUUCCUCUCGGUGUGAUGAGAUCUGCAGCCGUCCUGCUGUGACCCACCUCGGAUGACAAUCACCUCUUUGUUCAUCAUCCACAGGUCAGCCUCAAGUUCCCCACCCCCCACCCAGCUUUCCAUUACCUUAGCUUCUGUUGUGAUAUUGUAGAACUUUUGUUCAAGCAACCUUUACCUGUGCCCUGAAGCACAAGAAUAAUGAUGAUAGCCAUUUAUCCAUUUUUAUACUUAUUUCAUGCUAUCAUAAGUUAUUGUUGUUAACCUUGUAUUGUGUAUAAACAAAUUAAACUUUAUUGUAGUGUGUAUACAUAUGAGAAAAUAGUCCAUAGAGAGUUCAGUACUAGCUGUAAUUUUGGGCACACAUGCACUUUGGAGUCUUAUAACAUGCCCCUUGCAGACAUAGUGGGGACUAUCGUAUUUCAGAAAACGUCUGGAUGGAGUGUCAAAAAGAUUUAUUUUUUAAAUAACAAAUACCAAACCUCUACGAGAUACCCAGGAAUCUAGGAAUGCUGAAGUAUUUGAUUGGGGAGUUUUAGGCGUGGUUGGAAGAAAGAGUGUCUUAAGAGACUACCUGCGUUUCCGAUGUUCACCAUCCGCAUCCGCAGCAAACUUGGAAGGACUAUGGGCUUUGGAGUCAGCUAACUGGGUUAGAGCCUCCUCUGUGGCUCAGUAAUAAUGUAACCAAGAACAAGCAACUUAAUCUUGAGGAGUCAGUUUCCCGGUCGGGGAGGGGGCAUCAGACAGCCACAGAGCCUUACUCCUGGGGUUUAGGAAGAGGAAGUGCAAGAAUGUAUUUGAAAAGACUGGAUCCCUGUUUUGAGACAAAUGGGAGAUUCAGCUGCCAAAACAUUUUGCAUGAUUUGAUGGUGUUUCCAGGAUUUAGGUCUCAUUAGAGCAGUUCUCAGAAAGCAAAAGACAGCUGCCUGUAAGCGUGACAUUGUAUAUUCCUAUGGGCUCGAGACAAUGAAUGCUGCUCCUUCUGUCGGGCCCAGUUCUCAGGACUGAGCACAGAGCAGAUUAUACUAACCAUUCUACAGUCAUGUAUGCAUUGCGAUUCAGACCAAAAUAACUUGAGUGCACUCUCCUUUUCUUCCCUAACUCCUUUGUCAGCCCUCUGUACUUUCCAAUAAAACCAGAUAUAUCUAUUAAAAUGAAAAAAAAAAAGAGCUGUCCAC